rnacentral:rRNA from 1 species
CAGCAGCCGCGGGAAUACGAAGGGGGCUAGCGUUGCUCGGAAUGACUGGGCGUAAAGAGCGCGUAGGCGGCGGCCAAAGUCAGGCGUGAAAUUCCCGGGCUCAACCUGGGGGCUGCGUUUGAUACUUGGUUGCUUGAGUGGGGAAGAGGGUCGUGGAAUUCCCAGUGUAGAGGUGAAAUUCGUAGAUAUUGGGAAGAACACCGGUGGCGAAGGCGGCGACCCGGUCCUUUACUGACGCUGAGGCGCGAGAGCGUGGGGAGCUAACAGGAUUAGAUACCCCUGUAGUCCCUGUCUCUUAUAC